UGGGGAAUUUUGGACAAUGGGCGAAAGCCUGAUCCAGCAAUGCCGCGUGUGUGAAGAAGGCCUUCGGGUUGUAAAGCACUUUUGUCCGGAAAGAAAUCCUUGGCUCUAAUACAGUCGGGGGAUGACGGUACCGGAAGAAUAAGCACCGGCUAACUACGUGCCAGCAGCCGCGGUAAUACGUAGGGUGCAAGCGUUAAUCGGAAUUACUGGGCGUAAAGCGUGCGCAGGCGGUUUGCUAAGACCGAUGUGAAAUCCCCGGGCUCAACCUGGGAACUGCAUUGGUGACUGGCAGGCUAGAGUAUGGCAGAGGGGGGUAGAAUUCCGCGUGUAGCAGUGAAAUGCGUAGAGAUGUGGAGGAAUACCGAUGGCGAAGGCAGCCCCCUGGGCCAAUACUGACGCUCAUGCACGAAAGCGUGGGGAGCAAACAGGAUUAGAUACCCUGGUAGUCCACGCCCUAAACGAUGUCAACUAGUUGUUGGGGAUUCAUUCCUUAGUAACGUAGCUAACGCGUGAAGUUGACCGCCUGGGGAGUAUGGUCGCAAGAUUAAAACUUAAAGGAAUUGACGGGGUCAUAGCUGUUUCCU
rnacentral:rRNA from 1 species